UUUCUGUUGUUGGCAUGUUCCUCACUGUCUUCUGCAACCCCUCCAUCUUUCAAUUUCUAGUUGUUGAGCUGUCAGGGAUUAAUUUUUUUUGUUUCACUUUUUUUCUUCCAUUCUACCAAUUCGUAAAUAUGGUCAAAUUGCAAAUGGGUCAUAUUUAAUCUAAAGUCAUGCUUAAUUAAAACCUAGUUGUGAAAGGGAUUUGUUCGAAGGGUAACCGAGUGUUUAGCUUCACACUUUCUUUCCUUCCUUUUAUUUCCUCUCCUUUUUGCCUGAUAAAGCAACUGCUAGACCAAAAGAGAUGUCAUUGGGGAGGUUCUCAAAGAUAAAGGGAUUUGACCUUCUUACGUACCCCAAUCCCAAAUUAGGCCGAUUUUAAUAGGUGUGCCUUUAACUCUUUUAUAAGAACCUUUCCUCAUUUUUGACAAAAAUUACAUUGCCAAGCAAAAUUCUCUCCACUGCCCAAUCUUUCAUGUUUUGUCACGUAUUGUUAUAAUGGUUUUGUUUCAUCUUCAAUAGUCAUUCUUGAAUUCAUACUGUCCAUUGUUUGGCCACAAAGCAUGAAAAAAAGGAGAGAGACAAAAAGAAACUGAUAGUGAGACGACAUCCUUACUUUGGGGAAACUGGACUAAAGCCAACGACAAGAGGGAUGGGCGGCGACCGACGAGAGGGUUGGCGGUGACCGGUGAGCAAGUUAGGGCAGAGAGGGUUGGCAAUGAUAAAUUGGAGAAAUUGGCAUAGGGGAGAAAUGCUUGAAAAAAUAUUUGAAAAGAUAAAAUAAAAAAAACCUAAUAAUUGUUGGGUCGGUCUAAUGAGCUUUUCUAACAUUUUCUGUGUUCUUUUCCUUGGAGUUGUGCCUUGGUUGUGUUGGGGCCAUGUCCGAAAUAAAAAAAUAAAAAAAAUAAUCUACAUGUCAGCUGGCAUAGGAAUGUAACUGAUACUAACACCUAGCCAUCUUAGAAGUGUUCGUGCUUCUUAGGUUCAUAUCAUCUGUAUCUUGCGCACCUUCCCAGAAGGAAUCACGAAUCAACUUAUCCAAAACUUUGAUAAUAACGAAAGGAACGUGAUGGAGAGAUGACGACUCCCUUUCAAAAUAUAUGCAUAUUUCCAAUUAUAAAGCUUAUAUUGCAUUCUCUCUAUAAUGGAAUGCUAGAAAGCAUUGGAAGUAGAAUUCCACCUAAAAGCAAGCUAAGGUAGGCAGAAGGUCAAUUAACGUGUUUGCAACCAAAAGAAGAAGCCAAGGAAGUCAUAACAAAAGCAUUUAUUUUAAGAUGCUCACUCUUGAAAAGAUUAAUAGACAAUCUAGAAGCAACUUCAAAGAUACGAAUCACCUAAAAAAGAUGCAAAAGGCAGAAGGAGUCACAGAAGAAAAGAUCAAUGUAUCAUCAACGAACUGUAAAUGGCUCGAAACAAAAUUAGAAUCACCAAUAAAGUGGACAACCUUGGAUAAACUAUGGAUCCAUAAGACAACUACGACAAUCAACAACCAAACUAAAUAAAAAUGGGGAUAGGGUUGCGUUGCUUGAUACCAACCGAAGAGAUAAUCUUACCCCUAGCCCGACCAUUAAUAAUGAUGGAGAUAUUUGUACUAGAGAUCCAACCACGAAACCAAGAUUGCCACAACUGACCUAAGCCUUCUAUAUAAAAAAUAGCAUCGAGAAAAUCCUAGUCCACCGUGUCAAAAGCUUUCUCCAAAUUGAGUUUCAUAAUUUUAUAUGUUGUCAUUGUAGCGUAAGUUUUUCAUUGUUUCUUUGUUAGCUCUUUGUUGAUUAUGAUAUUCUUUUGCUGAAAGAACUAAAAGAAAUGGAAAACAGAGCAAAUCGUACAGCAAUAUGCAGAGCAAAGAAAGGGGGUUUCAAGGAUACUCCUGCGGAGGAUCUUCUUGCAUCUGUUUUAAAGGUAGAGGAGUCCUGACAAAUUGGUAUCAGAGCUGCCAAAGAUCCUGAGAAGAUACGAACAAUAGCACAUAAAUAUUUAAAGGCAAGGAUGGAGAUGAGUGAGAGAGAGAUCAUGGGUUUGAAACAAAUGAUACUCGGUCUAACUAAGAGUGGAAAAACUGUCCGACAAAGUGAAAGAAAGCAGUGUGACCAAGUGACCAGAGAGAAGAAUUGUGUGCGUCGGAUGGGUUUGGGUUGAAACUAAAAGGUAAGGUGGAGGAAGUUGAUGCGACUUCUAGCCUCGUUAAGGGUCCUCCUAAUAGAAGCAAGUAUAAGAAGUUGGAGAUGCCCGUAUUUGCCGGUGUAAACUCAAAAUCAUGGAUUUAUAAGGCAGAACAUUAUUUUGAGAUCAAUGAGCUAAUUGACACGGAGAAGGUGUAGGUGGCUGUCGUUAGUUUCGCCCAAGACGAAGUGGAUUCAUUUCGAUGGAGCAACAAUUGGAAGAAAAUCACGUCGUGGGAAGACCUAAAGGGGAGGAUGUUUGAACACUUUAAGGUCCCUAGAGAAGGAAGCCUGAGCGCUUGCCUCAUAUGCUAGCAAGAUGGAAUGUAUACAGACUAUGUGAAGAGAUUUUUGAACUACUCCACACUUUUGCUGAAGAUGGCAAAGAGUGUUUGGAUAAAUGCUUUCGUAACCGAUUUAGAACCAGUGCUUCAGGUAGAGGUGAAGAGCCGCUAUCCCAUAACUAUGAGAGAGACCCAAUUAGUGAAGGAUAGAAAUUUGGCUCUCAAGAUGGCCCUAAAUGAGUUGGGUGGUAGUGGACCAAGUAUUUCAGAGGCUCAAACCCAAACUAUGAAAGAUGGAAGAACAAAUACGAAAAAGAAAGGGGGAAGACAAACUGAGUACCCUAUGAGGAAAAUUUCGAUUCUAGUCAAGGGAAGUUAUACAAGGGGUGAGCCGCCAGUAAGAUUUUUGUCAGAUAAUGAGUUCAAGGAAAGAUUGGACAAGGGGUUAUGCUUUUGUUGUAAUGAUAAGUACUCCCAUGGGCACAUAUACAAGAUCAAGGAGAAUCGUUACACUACAACAGUUAAGAAUUAUUGGUUUUAAAAUCAUCAUUGAAGCCAAUGUUAAGAAAGUCAAAGUUCACGACGGUUAAUAAAUGUCAAGAAUAAUACGUUGACAGUUUAUAAACACAUUGUUUAUUAUUUUCUUAGAUCCCUCUCCUCCUAAGGAGUCGAUUUUUGUGUGGUACGUCUUACAUCUUGGUAUUUCGACUAAAUCAAUUCGGCUAUAGCCCAACUCUUAGCUUGUUUA